GGGGUUGUAGCUCAGUGGUAGAGCGCUUGCCUCGCAUGCAUGAGGCACUGGGUUCGAUCCUC
rnacentral:tRNA from 1 species